UGUGGUUUCUGGUUUUCCGUGAAGAUGGAAAGUUUUGUCAUUUUAACCUCCCUUCCUUUUCCUUCAAUUUCAAUUUAUCCUCCUUCCCUUCCUGUUCAUGCUAGUAAUUACUUGCAAAGGAGAAGAAGCCGGAUCGAAGCUCUGUUUUUCAUCUGUCUGUAAGCUUCCUGGUGCAUUGACAUGGAUUGUUUGAGCUCCUAAAUGAAAUAGAUGGAGUUCUACAAAUGAUGCAAGCUUAGCUCCAGGGCGUUUUUACUUUCAAACAUGAGCACACAAAAUAAAAGAAGAGGAUGGAUUAAUUAUUGGAAUUCCCAGAAACCUGAGGCAGACAUGUCGCAAACAAGCAAAUGGACCCAUCACUGAGCUUGAAAAUAUCACAAGCUUGAUGACCCCGUCAAAUGAUUGUAACCCAGCAGUUCAGAGGACAUCAACUACCAACACGUGUGACUGUGAGUGUUCCCCUGCAUCAGUAUCCUUGAGCUUUUUUUAGGCUUUAGAAGUGGUCUCCUUCUUCCUCUUCCAUUGAUUUUUGGUUUCAAAUUAGAUGAAAGCUGUG
rnacentral:lncRNA from 1 species